UUUCCGCCGCACUCCCGCGGCCGGUGAGUUGUCGCCUUCUGCUGCUGCUCCUCCCUCUGGCCAAACAGGGGUUAGGAGAAAUGCUGGGCCUCCGCCCCUUCGGCGGGCCGGGCGGGCACAGCACGUGCCGGCCUCGGGGGUCGGGCGGACGCGGGGAAAGCGCUGCGGAUGGAGGCCCAGGAGCCCGGGAGGCGGCGGAUACAAAGGAGCGGCCCAGGCGGGACGCCGCGGAAUAUAAAUGAAUAAAUACAACGCCCAAGCCGAAAAGCUCCUGAUCGCCAAUCCGCCUGCAGCAAGUUUGUUCAACUCGAAAGGCUGUAACCAGAGCCAGGGAAAGGGGGGUGGGGCGGUGAGGCCCCCGCGCCCUAAAGACUGGAAAAAAGAGGUUCAGCCUUUUAGGAGAGAAUAAUAUCUAUCUACGUGAUGGAAUUAGCCGUGAAGAUCACCCAAUAGCCACAUUCAAUACAAAGCUACUUUCUAAAUAUGGUUCUUAACCCAGAACUUCAAAGGAAUAUGAUAACCUGCUGAACAGGUGAUGUUUUGGGAAAAGCCAGAAGUCACAGAGUGCCAAUCUGGGCUGCAGGGGGGCUGAGUCACCUGGGUGAUUUGGUGUUAAAUUUCAAAACUCUGCAUGAGACAUGAUGCAUGAUGUAUGAGCAGGCUCAUUGUCAUGAUGAAGCUGCCAAUCACCAGUUGCCCAUAGCUGCAGCUUUCUCAAUCCUCAGAACAAUGUCUAUGGAGGAAUGUUCAAGCUAACACAAAAUUUGAUGUAGAUUUGUUGCUCUACUUGCUCAGUCAUUUUGAAUGUGAGGACUGCACAGUACACCUGCUCACUCAAUGACAUCUACCACCCCCACUGACAAGUACAGUGAAGUCGUCAGUGUUCACAUAUGCACAUUCCAGUCCACUCUCCUUGACUGCCAGGUUAUAUCAAUGUUGCGCAAACUGUUCUUGUUAUAUUAACAAUGAGUGGUUGGACCUUUUUCUGAACAGACCCCGUAUAUCAAACAAACUAAGUAUUGUUGAAAGUUUUGUUGAUGUACUCAGAGUUCCUGCUUAGGUGAGAUUAAGAAAGGGAGAAAUUGCCCUCUUUUCUAUUUACUAAAAGAAAUAUUAGAAUUUUAAAAAGUAUUUAAAUGAUUAA